rnacentral:rRNA from 1 species
GUCCACGCCGUAAACGAUGGAUACUUGAUGUUAGUGGUAUUGACCCCACUAGUGUCGGAGCUAACGCGUUAAGUAUCCCGCCUGGGGAGUACGGUCGCAAGAUUAAAACUCAAAGAAAUUGACGGGGGCCCGCACAAGCGGUGGAGCAUGUGGUUUAAUUCGAUGCAACGCGAAGAACCUUACCCGGGCUUGACAUGUACUGGAAGACUAGCGGAGACGCUGUCGCUCGCAAGAGUCGGUACACAGGUGCUGCAUGGCUGUCGU